CCAGUGGAGACGCAGUGGGGCCUGUAGCUCAGAGGAUUAGAGCACGUGGCUACGAACCACGGUGUCGGGGGUUCGAAUCCCUCCUCACCCAC
rnacentral:tRNA from 1 species